UACGUAGGGGCCGAGCGUUGUCCGGAGUUACUGGGCGUAAAGCGCGCGCAGGCGGCUCGUCAAGCCUGACGUGAAAGCCCCCGGCUCAACCGGGGAGGGUCGUCGGGGACUGGCGGGCUUGAGGUCGGCAGGGGUUGGUGGAAUUCCAGGUGUAGCAGUGAAAUGCGUAGAGAUCUGGAGGAACACCGAUGGCGAAGGCAGCCCCCUGGGCUAACACUGACGCUCAUGCACGAAAGCGUGGGGAGCAAACAGG
rnacentral:rRNA from 1 species